rnacentral:sRNA from 1 species
AGUAGAUUGGGAAACUCAUCAAAUUUAUAUGAAAUGCCGAGACAAUCUUUCUAUUCCAAUGGCGGGCCGCAUCUCGCACGAGUUUGUCAGUUUUGGCACAGCGGAUUACAAAGGAAGGAAGACCUCAAAACCUGAUUAUCGGAGUUUCAUCGCAUCCUUUGGUGUGGCUA